GUGAAGAGUGACCCUUCUCCCAGCUGUCUGUCUGUGAAGAGUGACCCUUCUCCCAGCUGUCUGUCUGUGAAGAGGGACCCUUCUCCCAGCUGUCUGUCUGUGAAGAGGGACCCUUCUCCCAGCUGUCUGUCUGUGAAUAGUGACAGCUCCAAAUCCCUUGGCCCCAACUUCAGAGAUGACCCUGAACCAAGCAGGACACCAAGCGUGGACUUGAAGAGCAACACAAUGAUUUAAUGAAGAAACUAAGGCAGGCAAAGAAAACGACAGGAAACUGGCAGGCAGGCAAAAACCCCAGACGGGUGGCAGUGCCGUUUUGCAGAUCAAGGAGCUGCUGGAUCCUGCCUCCAAAUGUCAGACCUGGUUAGAUGGCUGCAAUCAGUAUUGCUGAUGAUCUGAGUACGAUUUGAUCUAUGUAACAGAUUUGAUCUAUGUAACAGAUUUGAUCUAUGUAACAGAUUUGAUCUAUGUAACAGAUUUGAUCUAUGUAACAGAUGACUUCAUUCCUGUAAAUUCUUCCGUAUAACUAAUGGGAACAGUGAAUAUUGUUAUAAUCAAAUGAGUGUUUCAGUAGGACCAGUACACACCAGUCUCCUGCUGCUCCUGCUGAUGGUUUAGUUCCCCCACUGGCAGUAUGCAUGUAUGCAUGUCCCAAACAGGGAUCAAACCAGUGGUCAAACCAGUGGUGACUGGCCUCAAGACAACUUUCUAUUCUUUUGAGCUGUACAAAGUUACCAAUUGUAUAGACCUAUUGGAAACAUUUCCAGCUAGCUGUGGAGCAAGUUUAUAGUACGUUCUUAACUCCGUUACAGUGACUCCUUGAAUAGCAACUCCUUCAGAAGAUAGAGUGCACAGAUUUAGAUUGACAAGCCUUUCUUUUGUUUUGCAUGACAUUGCCCUCUACAGGACACAAUUGGUGCAACACUGAAUGGAGAUAAAUACAUUACUUUGUUUUAAUAGAAAUAUUCAUACAUCAUACAUACAUCUUCUUCCGCUUCAUCCGGGGCCGGGUCGCGGGGGCAGCAGUCUAAGCAGGGAUGCCCAGACUUCCCUCUCCCCAGACACUUCCUCCAGCUCUUCCGGGGGGACACCGAGGCGUUCCCAGGCCAGCCGGGAGACAUAGUCCCUCCAGCGUGUCCUAGGUCUUCCCCGGGGUCUCCUCCCGGUGGGACGGGCCCGGAACAUCUUCCCAGGAAGGCGUUCCGGAGGCAUCUGAAACAGAUGCCCAAGCCACCUCAGCUGACCCCUCUUGAUGUGGAGGAGCAGCGGCUCUACUCUGAGUUCCUCCCGGGUGACCGAGCUUCUCACCCUAUCUCUAAGGGAUCGCCCAGCCACCCUGCGGAGAAAGCUCAUUUCGGCCGCCUGUAUCCGGGAUCUUGUCCUUUUGGUCAUGACCCAAAGCUCAUGACCAUAGGUGAGAGUAGGAACGUAGAUUGACCGGUAAAUCGAGAGCUUCGCCUUGCGGCUCAGCUCUUUCUUCACCACGAGAGACCGAUACAUCGACCGCAUUACUGCAGAAGCUGCACCAAUCCGUCUGUCAAUCUCCUGUUCCAUCCUUCCCUCACUCGUGAACAAGACCCCUAGAUACUUAAACUCCUCCACUUGAGGCAGGCACUCUCCACCAACCUGAAGUGGGCAAGCCACCCUUUUUCCGACUGAGGACCAUGGCCUCGGAUUUGGAGGUACAUCCCCACCGCUUCACACUCGGCUGCAAACCGUCCCAGUGCAUGCUGAAGGUCCUGGUUUGAAGGGGCCAACACGACAACAUCAUCCGCAAAGAGCAGAGACGAAAUCGUGUGGUCCCCAAACCUGACACCCUCCGGCCCCUGGCUGCGCCUAGAAAUUCUGUCCAUAAAAACCCUGUGUCCCUCGCAGCAUCCUGUGGAGAGUGCUUCGGGAAUAUGGGGUCCUGGGUCCUUUGCUAAGGGCUGUCAGGUCCCUGUACGACCGAAGCAGGAGUUUGGUCCGCAUUGCCGGCAGUAAGUCAGACUUGUUCCCAGUGCAUGUUGGACUCCGGCAGGGCUGCCCUUUGUCGCCGGUUCUGUUCAUAAUUUAGAAAUAUUCAAAUUAUUGUAAUACAUUUAGCUUUUAUGGACAAAUUUGAAUAUAGUUUUAGGAAAAAAAAUUACAACCAUAGUAGGAUCUUUCUUUUAUUUAAUGUUAUUUACUUUUUUUACUGUUAUAUGUAAGUACUUAUUUUUUUUGUCAUAUUUUCUCAAUUUCAUAGAAACAUUCUGUUGUUACCAGUUUUCUUUUUUUAUUAUAAAGCUUCUUGGCAAUAAUGUGCA
ensembl:lncRNA